rnacentral:rRNA from 1 species
AGAACGAACGCUGGCGGCGUGAAUAAGACAUGCAAGUCGAACGGAAUAACUUGGUAGCAAUAUUAAGUUAUUUAGUGGCGAACGGGUGCGUAACACGUGGGUUACAUUCCGGGAAGUGGGGAAUAGCCCAGGGAAACUUGGAUUAAUGCCCCAUGUAGUCGCAAGACUAAAGGCGCAAGCCGCUUCCUGAUUGGCCCGCGGCCUAUCAGCUAGUUGGUGGGGUAACGGCCCACCAAGGCUACGACGGGUAGCUGGUCUAAGAGGAUGAUCAGCCACACUGGGACUGAGACACGGCCCAGACUCCUACGGGAGGCAGCAGUGGGGAAUAUUGGACAAUGGGCGAAAGCCUGAUCCAGCAAUGCCGCGUGUGUGAAGAAGGUCUUCGGAUUGUAAAGCACUUUCGACGGGGACGAUGAUGACGGUACCCGUAGAAGAAGCCCCGGCUAACUUCGUGCCAGCAGCC